rnacentral:pre_miRNA from 1 species
UACAUACUUCCUCCGUUCAGAAUUACUCGUCCAAGAAAUGAAUGUAUCUAGAUGUAUUUUAGUUGUAGAUACAUCCAUUUUUGUGACAAGUAAUUCCGAAUGGAGGGAGUACUGC